rnacentral:rRNA from 1 species
UACGUAGGUGGCGAGCGUUGUCCGGAUUUAUUGGGCGUAAAGCGCGCGCAGGCGGUGCGGUAAGUCCGUCGUGAAAUCUCCCGGCUCAACUGGGAGGGUGCGGUGGAGACUGCCGGACUGGAGGCACUCAGAGGCCGGUGGAAUUCCCGGUGUAGUGGUGAAAUGCGUAGAGAUCGGGAGGAACACCAGUGGCGAAGGCGGCCGGCUGGGGGUGACCUGACGCUGAGGUGCGAAAGCGUGGGGAGCGAACCGG